CCCGGCCUUCCUGUCCUCUACAACAGCCUGGACGCCGAAGCGCAGAGCUCCCGUGUGGCGUGAAACUGGACAGAUGAGCGGUCAGUUCGAAGAAGCAGUUGUUCCCGGAGAGCAGCCGGUCUCACCUCGCCGUCCCAGGUGCCCACCGUCUCUCCGGCCGGCUGUCCUGACUGGAGCGUUUCCUCUCCCGGGGCUCCAGACUGUGGGCCGCCGGAGCGUUACGACUAUACUGUUUUGUUCCAAUUUUGCAAUAAAUUGGUGUCCUUGGAUUUUCUUAAA